rnacentral:rRNA from 1 species
UACCUGCAGCUCAAGUGGUGGCCGUUAUUAUUGGGCCUAAAACGUCCGUAGCCGGUUUAUUAAAUGCCUGGGUAAAUCGGGCCGCUUAACGGUUCGAAUUCCGGGUAGACUGAUAGACUUGGGACCGGGAGAGGCUAGAGGUACUCCCGGGGUAGAGGUGAAAUUCUGUAAUCCUAGGGGGACCACCAGUGGCGAAAGCGUCUAGCUAGAACGGGUCUGACGGUGAGGGACGAAGCCCUGGGGCGCAAACCGGAUUAGAUACCCGGGUAGUCCAGGGUGUAAACGCUGCUUGCUUGAUGUUAGUCGGGCUCCGAGCCCGAUUAGUGUCGGAGAGAAGUUGUUAAGCAAGCUGCCUGGGAAGUACGGCCGCAAGACUGAAACUUAAAGGAAUUGGCGGGGGAGCACAGCAACGGGUGGAGCGUGCGGUUU